AACGAACGCUGGCGGCGUGUUUAUGACAUGCAAGUCGAACGGAUCAAGAUUGUAGCAAUACCGUUUUGGUCAGUGGCGCACGGGUGCGUAACACGUGAGUUACAUGCCCUGCAGUCGUGAAUAGCCCUCCGAAAGGGGGAUUAAUACACGAUGGACCCGCAAGGGUAAAGGUGGCUUCGGCUGCCGCUGCAGGAUUGGCUCGCGGCCUACCAGCUAGUUGGCGAGGUAACGGCUCCCCAAGGCGACGACGGGUACCUGGUCUGAGAGGACGAUCAGGCACACUGGAACUGAGACACGGGCCAGACACCUACGGGUGGCAGCAGUCGAGAAUAAUUCACAAUGGGGGAAACCCUGAUGGUGCAACGCCGCGUGGAGGAUGAAGGUCUUCGGAUUGUAAACUCCUGUCAUCUGAAGCAAGGCGUGGAUGUGAACAGCAUACACGAUUGAUAGUACCAGAAGAGGAAGGGACGGCUAACUUCGUGCCAGCCGCCGCAGUAA
rnacentral:rRNA from 1 species